CGCUUUGUUUGUUAUCACAACUGUCAAUACAAAUAUAUUUCCCGUUACUCCUAAUAUAAAAAUAACAGCAUUUGCAAGACUAACAUACCAGAAUAUAUACGGCGGAAGAUAAUAGGUUCCAUUUUCUUUGACAAUUGUGUCGUUUAAAGUUUCAAACGUUUUAACUGUUUCCUCCAUGUUUAGUUAUAAACUUUUUUGUAAAUUAUGCUGAUAGAUCAUAACUAUCUUUGUUAAAUACUAGGUGUAACAUAUGUCUUUCGAAUAGUCAACAUGUUGGUUAUGCUGGCAUUUUAUAAGGUUUUAUAAAAACAUAUCG
rnacentral:lncRNA from 1 species